UUUGAGAGUUACUAGGCAGAGCCUGAACAGCAGCUCGUGAUUCAGGUGUUGAUUCAAUGGGUCCUAUUCUAUUGUCUCUUUGUUGCUGCCACUCUUGACUAAAGCCACCAUCAUCUGCUUCAGCAUCUUCAUUCUGAGACUGGUUUGCCGGAGCUUGUUUAUCGUAAGUGGAGUUUUUAGAAGCUUUCCGUUGGCCUUCUGGAUCUUCCUCAGCCAUGUUCACUAGCCACACCAUUGUUGAGGAGUAAAUAAGUGCUGGGAAGAGCGUUUCAUUUCUCUCCUGAGCUGUUUCAACUAACAUACGAAGAGGACCUUUAGGACAUAAGACAGCAACCAAAUCGUACACUGAAAUGACAGCCAGGAUAAGCCAUGCAGUCCAUUCGGGAAGAUACUUAAUGAACACCAAUGCCAUGAGAGCGCUUAUCAUAAUGAGAUAUGCUUGCUGAAGCCGAAGUGGGCCCUUCCAAUGGAUACAAAUCAUUCCCACAACACCAAAGUUCCAGAUUAU
rnacentral:lncRNA from 1 species